rnacentral:misc_RNA from 1 species
CUGAGUGAGGGCCUUCGGGCUCGACCUCCAACCCUUUGUGAACACAACUUGUUGCUUCGGGGGCGACUCCGCCGUUUCGACGGCGGGCGCCCCCGGAGGCCUUCAAACCCUGCAUCUUUGCGUCGGAGUUUAAGUAAAUCAAACA